rnacentral:rRNA from 1 species
UACGUAGGGUGCGAGCGUUGUCCGGAAUUAUUGGGCGUAAAGAGCUUGUAGGCGGUUUGUCGCGUCUGCUGUGAAAUUUCGGGGCUCAACCCCGAACUUGCAGUGGGUACGGGCAGACUAGAGUGUGGUAGGGGAGACUGGAAUUCCUGGUGUAGCGGUGAAAUGCGCAGAUAUCAGGAGGAACACUGGUGGCGAAGGCGGGUCUCUGGGCCGUAACUAACGCUGAGGAGCGAAAGCAUGGGGAGCGAACAGG